GCAUAUCAAUAAGCGGAGGAAAAAGAAACCAACAGGGAUUACCUCAGUAACGGCGAGUGAAGCGGUAACAGCUCAAAUUUGAAAGCUAGCUCUUUUAGGGUUCGCAUUGUAAUUUGUAGAAGAUGCUUCGGGUGUGGCCCCGGUCUAAGUUCCUUAGAACAGGACGUCAUAGAGGGUGAGAAUCCCGUAUGUGACUGGGUGCUUUCGCUCAUGUGAAGCUCUUUCGACGAGUCGAGUUGUUUGGGAAUGCAGCUCAAAAUGGGUGGUAAAUUUCAUCUAAAGCUAAAUAUUGGCCAGAGACCGAUAGCGCACAAGUAGAGUGAUCGAAAGAUGAAAAGCACUUUGGAAAGAGAGUUAAACAGUACGUGAAAUUGUUGAAAGGGAAGCGCUUGCAACCAGACUUGCGCGCUGAUGAUCAUCCGGGCUUCUGCCCGGUGCACUCGUCUGCGCUCAGGCCAGCAUCGGUUUUGGUGGUGGGAUAAAGGCCUUGGGAAUGUAGCUUCUUUCGGGGAGUGUUAUAGCCCUCGGUGCAAUGCCGCCUACCGGGACCGAGGACCGCGCUUCGGCUAGGAUGCUGGCGUAAUGGUUGUAAGCGACCCGUCUUGAAACACGGACCAAGGAGUCUAACAUCUAUGCGAGUGUUUGGGUGUCAAACCCAUACGCGUAAUGAAAGUGAACGGAGGUGAGAACCCUUAAGGGUGCAUCAUCGACCGAUCCUGAUGUCUUCGGAUGGAUUUGAGUAAGAGCAUAGCUGUUGGGACCCGAAAGAUGGUGAACUAUGCGUGAAUAGGGUGAAGCCAGAGGAAACUCUGGUGGAGGCUCGCAGCGGUUCUGACGUGCAAAUCGAUCGUCAAAUUUUGCGUAUAGGGGCGAAAGACUAAUCGAACCAUCUAGUAGCUGGUUCCUGCCGAAGU
rnacentral:rRNA from 1 species